rnacentral:rRNA from 1 species
AGGGUAACCGACGGUGGACAUAUCGGAAGUGCGAAUGCUGACAUGAGUAGCGAUAAAGAGGGUGAGAUACCCUCUCGCCGAAAGACCAAGGGUUCCUGCGUAAAGCUAAUCUGCGCAGGGUAAGCCGGCCCCUAAGCCGAGGACGAAAGUCGUAGGCGAUGGGAACCAGGUUAAUAUUCCUGGGCCUUCUGGAAGUGACGAAUGGCGUAAAUCGUGUGGGCUUAUCGGAUUGUCCAUGCGGUGGUGCUGUUCCAGGAAAUAGCUCCAGUUGUAGACCGUACCCUAAACCGACACAGGUGGGAUGGUAGAGUAUACCAAGGCGCUUGAGAGAACUGCGUUGAAGGAACUCGGCAAAAUACUCCCGUAAGUUCGCGAGAAGGGAGACCUCCGUUUGGGCAACCAGGCGGGGGUGGCACAGAAAUGGGGGUGGCGACUGUUUACUAAAAACACAGGGCUCUGCGAAGCCGCAAGGCGACGUAUAGGGUCUGACGCCUGCCCGGUGCCGGAAGGUUAAAAGGAGAUGUGAG